rnacentral:rRNA from 1 species
CCUACGGGUGGCUGCAGUCGAGAAUCAUUCACAAUGGGGGAAACCCUGAUGGUGCGACGCCGCGUGGGGGAAUGAAGGUCUUCGGAUUGUAAACCCCUGUCAUGUGGGAGCAAAUUAAAAAGAUAGUACCACAAGAGGAAGAGACGUCUAACUCUGUGCCAGCAGCCGCGGUAAUACAGAGGUCUCAAGCGUUGUUCGGAAUCACUGGGCGUAAAGCGUGCGUAGGCUGUUUCGUAAGUCGUGUGUGAAAGGCGCGGGCUCAACCCGCGGACGGCACAUGAUACUGCGAGACUAGAGUAAGGGAGGGGGAACCGGAAUUCUUGGUGUAGCAGUGAAAUGCGUAGAUAUCGAGAGGAACACUCGUGGCGAAGGCGGGUUCCUGGACAUUAACUGACGCUGAGGCACGAAGGCCAGGGGAGCGAAAGGGAUUAGAUACCCUUGUAGUC